rnacentral:rRNA from 1 species
CCUACGGGAGGCAGCAGUGAGGAAUAUUGGUCAAUGGCCGCAGGGCUGAACCAGCCAAGUCGCGUGAGGGAUGACGGUCCUAUGGAUUGUAAACCUCUUUUGUCAGGGAGCAAAGGGCGCCACGUGUGGCGCUUUGCGAGUACCUGAAGAAAAAGCAUCGGCUAACUCCGUGCCAGCAGCCGCGGUAAUACGGAGGAUGCGAGCGUUAUCCGGAUUUAUUGGGUUUAAAGGGUGCGUAGGCGGAAUGUCAAGUCAGCGGUAAAAUUUCGGGGCUCAACCCCGUCGUGCCGUUGAAACUGGCGUUCUUGAGUGAGCGAGAAGUAUGCGGAAUGCGUGGUGUAGCGGUGAAAUGCAUAGAUAUCACGCAGAACUCCGAUUGCGAAGGCAGCAUACCGGCGCUCAACUGACGCUCAUGCACGAAAGCGUGGGUAUCGAACAGGAUUAGAUACCCCGGUAGUC